rnacentral:misc_RNA from 1 species
AACGCACAUUGCGCCCCCUGGUAUUCCGGGGGGCAUGCCUGUUCGAGCGUCAUUUCAACCCUCAAGCCCGGCUUGUGUGAUGGACGAACGUCCUGCCUUUAGGGGCGGGACGCGUCCGAAAAGCAGUGGCUAGGCCGCGACUUCGGCGCCUGAGCGAAUGGGAUUUCCAGCGCUUCUAGGACCGACCGGCCCCUAGCCUCCAAACAAACAGUCCUGACGGACUUCUUAGGUUGACCUCGGAUCAGGUAGGGAUACCCGCUGAACUUAA